rnacentral:tRNA from 1 species
GGGCGGGUAGCUCAGUUGGUAGAGCGUCGCCCUUACAAGGCGCUGGUCGCAGGUUCGAGUCCUGUCCCGCCCA